GGUCCCUGGGGGAGAGGACACAGGCCUCCAUUCAAGGACGGACCAAAGAAAGAGCAAGGCCAGCACGAGCAGUGACGGGGACAGACGGAGGCCUGGGGCGGGGGUCCUGCCUCCCCAGCUCAGGGCCAAGGGGACCCAUGCGCACGCACAUAUAUGGGCGUGGGGUGUACCAUGGAGGCAGAACAAGGCCCCUGGCAGAACUGCAUCCCAAUGGACCUCGCCCCGAGCCCUGGCACAGCUUGUGCCCUGGGAAUCAGGCACUGAGAGGGCAGGAGGCGCCACACACCCAGCCACGAAUGAGCCAACCGCAGACACUCUGGCUUUGGCCAAACGUGUCUGUCUCCCACCCAGGGUGAGGCCUACCUCUUGCUCCUGGACAUAAGAAUCAAACCCUGCUGCUCCUGCACCACAGCCUGCAAGAGUGCAAAGCUCUCCAGGAAAAGCUGCACUGUGGACAGUGACCUCAGCCUCUUUCUUCUGCUCGGAUGACAACUCUGGGCUCUGAAGGGAAGACACAGGAACUGGGAUUCCGUGCAGCAACGUCCAGCCCCUCCCCCACCCCAGCGAAAGCCUCUUCCCCAUCAGAACGGGAUGUUUAAAACUGUGCACUUGCUUCCUUAACAAUUUUCAAGCCCCUAGUCAGGACCUCCUGGGAGUCCAGAACAGCCUGCAAGGAGAAAGGUCACUGUGUGUUCCUGCUUCCCUGAUUAAAAAGCCUUCAUGAA